GACAGAGGGUGCAAACGUUGUUCGGAAUUACUGGGCGUAAAGGGUGCGUAGGCGGUUCGUUAAGUCUGUCGUGAAAUCCCCGGGCUCAACCUGGGAAUGGCGAUGGAUACUGGCGAGCUAGAGUGUGUCAGAGGAUGGUGGAAUUCCCGGUGUAGCGGUGAAAUGCGUAGAGAUCGGGAGGAACAUCAGUGGCGAAGGCGGCCAUCUGGGACAACACUGACGCUGAAGCACGAAAGCGUGGGGAGCAAACAGG
rnacentral:rRNA from 1 species